GUGAAUCAUCAAAUUUUUGAACGCAAAUUGCACUCUCUUCGGAGAGUAUGCCUGUUUGAGGGUCAGUAUUAAUAAAAAUCGGUGCGUUGCUUCUUUGUGACGCUUUGGAGUUUGGGUCAUCUUAAUAUACUUUAGGUUUUAAGAGGGUUAAAAUUGACUUUUGUUGCGCAGUUUAGAUGUACAUAAAUUCUUUUUUUUAUUCGUCUGUCUUAAUGUUCAAAAUUCUAUUAGAUGUGACCAUAUCGCGUGGUGUCGUGUCUACAA
rnacentral:misc_RNA from 1 species